rnacentral:rRNA from 1 species
GGUCGAUGAUGUGGUUUCAUUUGAUGUAACGCGAAAAACUUUACCCACCUUUGACAUGUACGGAAUCCUUUAGAGAUAGAGGAGUGUCGAAAGAAGUCGUAACACAGGUGCUGCAUGGCUGUCGUCAGCUCGUGUCGUGAGAUGUUGGGUUAAGUCCCGCAACGAGCGCAACCCUUGCCAUUAGUUGCUACGAAAGGGCACUCUAAUGGGACUGCCGGUGACAAACCGGAGGAAGGUGGGGAUGACGUCAAGUCCUCAUGGCCCUUAUAGGUGGGGCUACACACGUCAUACAAUGGCUGGUACAAAGGGUUGCCAACCCGCGAGGGGGAGCUAAUCCCAUAAAGCCAGUCGUAGUCCGGAUCGCAGUCUGCAACUCGACUGCGUGAAGUCGGAAUCGCUAGUAAUCGUGGAUCAGAAUGUCACGGUGAAUACGUUCCCGGGUCUUGUACACACCGCCCGUCACACCAUGGGAGCGGGUCUCGCCAGAAGUAGGUAGCCUAACCGCAAGGAGGGCGCUUACCACGGCGGGGUUCGUGACUGGGGUGAAGUCGUAACAAGGUAACCAAGGGCGAAUUCUG